rnacentral:rRNA from 1 species
AACGAACGCUGGCGGCAUGCCUAACACAUGCAAGUCGAACGAGACCUUCGGGUCUAGUGGCGCACGGGUGCGUAACGCGUGGGGAUCUGCCCUUUGCUUCGGAAUAACAGUUAGAAAUGACUGCUAAUACCGGAUGAUGACUUCGGUCCAAAGAUUUAUCGGCAAAGGAUGAACCCGCGUAGGAUUAGCUAGUUGGUGGGGUAAAGGCCUACCAAGGCGACGAUCCGUUAGCUGGUCUGAGAGGAUGAUCAGCCACACUGGGACUGAGACACGGCCCAGACUCCUACGGAGGCAGCAGUGGGAAUAGUUCGGACAAAUUGGGGCGAAAAGCCUGAUCCAGCAA